rnacentral:tRNA from 1 species
UUUAAAUAGUUUAAAGAAAAAUGUUGGUUUGUGGGACCUAAGAUAUAAUAGAAAUUUAUUUUA